CUCAACUUCUCAAGACUUUAUCAACAAAGGAACGCCACUGAGGAGACAGCAUGAGCGAUGUUAAAGAUCAAUACCUCCUGAGGACUAAAGAAGGGAAAGUUUUGACUGCCAACCCGAACAAACAGCUGCGUGCUGUUGACAGGCAAAACAGUCGUAACAGUGGGCAGCGCUGGAUGGUAAAAAGA